rnacentral:rRNA from 1 species
UACGUAGGGUGCGAGCGUUAAUCGGAAUUACUGGGCGUAAAGCGUGCGCAGGCGGUGCACCAAGCUCGAUGUGAAAGCCCCGGGCUUAACCUGGGAAUUGCAUUGAGGACUGGUGUGCUCGAGUGCGGCAGAGGGGGGUGGAAUUCCACGUGUAGCAGUGAAAUGCGUAGAGAUGUGGAGGAACACCGAUGGCGAAGGCAGCCCCCUGGGCCGACACUGACGCUCAUGCACGAAAGCGUGGGGAGCAAGCAGG